rnacentral:rRNA from 1 species
UACGGGGGGAGCAAGCGUUGUUCGGAUUUACUGGGCGUAAAGGGCUCGUAGGUGGCCAACUAAGUCAGACGUGAAAUCCCCCGGCUUAACCGGGGAACUGCGUCUGAUACUGGAUGGCUUGAGUUCGGGAGAGGGAUGCGGAAUUCCAGGUGUAGCGGUGAAAUGCGUAGGUAUCUGGAGGAACACCGGUGGCGAAGGCGGCAUCCUGGACCGACACUGACGCUGAGGAGCGAAAGCCAGGGGAGCGAACGGG